ensembl:lncRNA
CUCUUUCUGUGAAUUAAACAGCCACGGGAUUUGAGACUUUUUCUUCUUCCAGAGGGAUGAAUGGAGAGAGUGAAUGGAACCAAGCCAAAGCAUAGCAGUGGCUGCGGGCUUUGGCUAUGGAUGGGACCAGCUGGUGACCUCUUUGGUAGGGCAUGGCCAGGAUGCUUCUGCAAGGAGACGUGGCUGGGAACCCAAAAUCCCUCUCCUGCCCGUGCCCCAGCCCCUUCCUGCAAACACUUCUUACCAAGCAGCCAGGAUUGUCUGGAAAGCGUUCCUUGUGAGAGACAAACUGGAUCUUGAGCUCUCACCUCGGAGGCUCUAUUUGAGAGUACGCGCAGAGCAAGGGACUGCUCCUGCCUGGGAGAGGGACAUGGGCAGAGGAUGGAAAGGAUGGAGAGAAGACACAAGGAUGGCACCAGGGACAUCCUCAGCUGUGAGCUUGGGGGCCUGGGUUUGUAGGGGACAUCUCUCUGCUGUUACAAAGAAAAAAUAAUGAUAUAUAUAUUAAGAAAUUUUAGGAAGGACAGCAUUUCUCAAAUUUCACUUCAAUCUAACUAAAACAUGUUUCGUUUUGUCCCUGAAUGAUGAAUCUGUGCUCAUUUCCAGGUUACUUAGCCAGACCUAAAGCCAGAAGCAGAAGGAAACAGGCGAGCGCUUUCCAAGCCACAUGCUCUGCGUGCAGAUCAAAGCAAAACCUCCCCCCUCCUUCACAGGGGGUUGAUUUGACGUGGUUCUCCAGCUGUGAGCUGCUGUCGAGAGGUGCUCAGGACCAGAGCGGGGCUGUGUUUGGUGCUCUGACUGAUGGGCAACACGGCUGCAAAACCCCAGCCCCGCCGUGACCCAGCGCGUGGGUUUUGGAUAGGGCAGAAGCUCAGAGCAGGUGGUGGGCAUCCUCUGUGCCUUGCUCCAUCCUGGGGACUGCAUGCUGUCUGCAUGCUGCUGCCAGAUCCCUGCCACGGGCACCAAUAUGCUGGACCAGAAUACCAACGAGUAUACUCCAGUUGCCCUGUUGCAUUCAGCCUGCCCCACUGGGCAACAUCUCUGCAAACCAUCCGUAGCCCAGUCAGUCCCUUAUCCCUCGGGCUUUCACUGAACCCUUUUGUCCGAACCCUUUCCCAAGGCUAUAUGAGCUCUUCGCAUUCUGCUGCUCCUUUUUCCCCAGGAGAGUUUCCUUGAGGACCAUCCACCCCCAAAGACAAUGUCAUCCCCAAACCUGCUCAACCAACUGCCCUACAAACCACCAUCACUGUGGGACAGAGAGCUGGGCUCGUCCUUCAGCAGCCUAUGCUGACCACAGCACUAGGG